AGAAAACAAAUAAUUCUUCCUACGCAAAUUGUUCAUAUGUUUUGAUCUUAAAUCAAAAAAAAAAAAAAUCAUAACGCACGGUUACGGGAAAGCGAUUAGAGCUUAAUCGUAGUUCUCUGGAAACAAUCGAAUUAUACUACCAUACUUACUCCUACCUGUGUUUAAAAUGGCGACGAAAGUUAUUAGUGUGUACAUAAUGUUAUCGUACCUUUUUAUUACAUGUGUAUUAGGUCAAAAUCAAGGAGACUCGACAUUGAAAAUAACUUCAGAUGAAUUUGCUAAUUUUAAAGGGGUAGAUCCUACAACACAUUGCGGAAAACCCGAAGAAAUGAAAUGCGAAUGUAAUAAGCUUGGCAAACUUGAAAAAUUUACUGAUGGAAAAAAAUGUUUUAUAUCAGGGUUUCCACAAUGUAUAGACACGGUGGUUGUUGUACAAAAAAAUUGUAAAGAUUAUCAAGAAGAUGUUAAAGUUCUCGUCUGCUCAUGGAAUGAAGGUCAUAACCUCAUUGUAGGUAAAGGAAAAGAUGCAAAUAAUUUUAUGGUUUUCGCCACCGAUCAGAAUGGCGUUUGUUAUUUUUAUAAAGAUGUGAAAUAUCCUACCAAUUGAAAGAAAAAUUUAUCGCUUGCAAA